ACUUACAAAAAGAAAUAAAAAAAGAAAAGAGAAGAAGAAGAGAGAAUCAAUAUGCGUCAUUAGUUCGAAAACAUCAGCAACAGUACAAAAAAAACAUACAUCAAGCGUUGGCUACAAACGUAGUGGCGCUACCCAUAAAUCAACACCACAACAUCGUCAGUCUUACUCCAUAACCAUAAAAUCGACAACACAAUUGCGAUUGUCGCAUGUGUUACGCUGUUGCAGCAUUAUUGCAUGCGCAUGUACUGCAUUGGUUUUAAAUACUUUUUAUUGCUAAAUUGCCAGCUUUAAAGGUUUUUGCUGGCAGUACUGAAAGUGUAUAAACCAUUAUCAUAACCAAAUGUAUGUGUGAUUUCGGUUUAACAUUGUGUUUCUGUUUCUUUUUAACUAUUAUCGUCGAUAUAUUUCCUUUUCCGUUUUUUAAGCGUUUCAUUAAAUAUAUAUUUUUUUUAUCUCUCAACUCUUGCAGUGUUUUUACUUUUUUGUAUAGGCGCUAGCUAGCUUACACGGCAAGCAGAAGAGCAAGUCUCACCUGACCCUGAGAACAUCACAAGCGUUAAAGUCUGCAAUUACUUAAGCAGAACAGAAAAAAACAAAACCGAUUAUUUAGUAAAAUACAGUUGAUGGUUGGUGUGGUGGUGUGUAAGUAUGUUAUUGUGAUACAGAUCGAAUUUUUGUUAAAGCAUUGACAAAUUCGCUCAAUUUAUACUAAGUACGUAGCUGUUCAUAUUGUAAAAGUAUUGCUUUUACCUAACUAGUUUUAUUCCACACUCUUUACGCUGCUUACAAAUUAAUAUGUAACAUUUCAUACUAUAAACACAAGCAUAUUUAGUUUGGAUAAUAUUUUUCGAUGGUAAAAAACAAGUAAACCGUAACAUACAAAACCCUCGUAGCAAUUUCGUAAUACACAAACGUAUGUUUGUAACUUUCAAGUAUAUUUAUUAUGAUUGAAUAAAUAAAAUAAGAAUAAAAUAUAUAUUAACCGGCAUAUAAUAUACAUAGCGCACUUACCCGAAUCUGAACGAGACUUCUUUGAUGGCACCAUGCCGUCAUUUAGUGGAUCGUCUGAACGUGACUCUGAAGAACGUGAUUCUCGUUCAUUGGAACCCUGGAAAAAUUAAAUGAAUUGCGUUAAAUUUUAAGGAUAUAAUAUGCAUAAAUGUCUCAAGUGAAAUAGUUUUCGCUGAGGGGUAGCAACUAGCCUAUAUAGUAUCCAGUAGGUACGCGUUGGGAUGACGGCGAAUAGCGCUCUUCAAUAGUACAGCGUUAUUGAAAUUUUUAGUAUACACACACAAAAUUGCAUCGUACUUGCGAAAUGCAAGGAACUUAUAUAUUUAAAUAUAUUCUCUUGUUACAAAAUGGAUUUAAUACACGAUUUUUGCGGUUUCUUCAGCUUAAACUUUGUAAAUCCGUAGAAUUCUUGUUGCAAAUCAAUUCGCUACAUAUUUCACGCCAUUUUCUAUGCCGACACUAGUAGCUACAAAAUAUUGGAAACUUCAAACCUGUAAACUCACCAUAUUUAAUCUGCGAAAAUUUAUAUUUUUAUUGCAAAGCUAAUUUGCAAUACGUAUUUAACAAUUUUAUAAUGUUGAUGUAGUUUCUUUUGAGUUAAUUUUUAUAAAAUUUCUGUGAACUUUCACGUAUUUCAGGGUCCCUUCAAAACGCUGCAAAAAUUUUCGUCAAUGACAGCGAGUAAAAACCGUGCUGCCGGAUCGUUGAAAUUUAAAACAGCAGAUUUUUAAUUUAGAGGAGUUUUUGAGACUUGUUAUGUUCAAUUCAAUGACAAAAUUUUAUAUUACGUGCAUUAAUAUGUGACCUUUAUUGGAAAAUUUGGUAGUUGUGUAUAUUGACUAGUUUAACAUUUAUAAUUUGUUAAAUAAAAUUAAACUAACUUUAGUUAUUUAAUUUUCACAAUAUGUUACGACGAUGACUAUUAAAAUUACAACAUUCGAGUAUUUAAUUUAGAACAAUAACACUACAUUUAAAAUGUACUAUUAAAUUCGCAUUUGCACAAUGUUUGUCUUUCGACUGAAAUUUCUAUCAAACAUAAAAUAUCAUUUGGAUAACCAUUUUAUGGUUCAUAUUGCAUUAUCU